AAACCGUACUCGCAAUAAAGUCGUAUCUUAAACUUAUCGUUUCUUAUAAACUAACCAUUAUAUAUAUUUCCAUUUGGGCAAUCUUUCCGGCUCCCUAGAUGUAUACUACGCAGUUGAAAUAUUACAGUCAUCUAGAAGUGCAAAAUAGAAUCAAUAUGAUGAUGGUAAGAGGUUAACUUUGGAUAUUAUAGUUUACGUGAAUCUUGUAUAACUAAGAUAUACUAAUAUAGAGCUGAGCAUAUUGGUUCAUGUGGGUCAGUCAUCAAUGCAGAAUCAUUGCAUAAUUUUAGUGUCACGCAUCAAGUCGUAACAAAUGGUGGAAGACAAUAUGUAAUUAAGAACUGGUUUUAAUAAAUAAAAUAUUUGAAAAUGA